UACGUAGGGUGCAAGCGUUGUCCGGAAUUAUUGGGCGUAAAGAGCUCGUAGGCGGUUUGUCGCGUCUGCUGUGAAAACCCGAGGCUCAACCUCGGGCCUGCAGUGGGUACGGGCAGACUAGAGUGCGGUAGGGGAGAUUGGAAUUCCUGGUGUAGCGGUGGAAUGCGCAGAUAUCAGGAGGAACACCGAUGGCGAAGGCAGAUCUCUGGGCCGUAACUGACGCUGAGAAGCGAAAGCAUGGGGAGCGAACGGG
rnacentral:rRNA from 1 species